rnacentral:rRNA from 1 species
UCCAGACUCCUACGGGAGGCAGCAGUGAGGAAUAUUGGUCAAUGGCCGAGAGACUGAACCAGCCAAGUCGCGUGAGGGAUGACGGCCCUACGGGUUGUAAACCUCUUUUGUCGGGGAGCAAAGAGAGUCACGUGUGGCUCAUUGAGAGUACCCGAAGAAAAAGCAUCGGCUAACUCCGUGCCAGCAGCCGCGGUAAUACGGAGGAUGCGAGCGUUAUCCGGAUUUAUUGAGUUUAAAGGGUGCGCAGGCGGAGGUGCAAGUCAGUGGUCAAAUUGCGGGGCUCAACCCCGUACUGCCGUUGAAACUGCAUCCCUUGAGUGCGCGAGAAGUAUGCGGAAUGCGUGGUGUAGCGGUGAAAUGCAUAGAUAUCACGCAGAACUCCGAUUGCGAAGGCAGCAUACCGGCUCCAUACUGACGCUGAGGCACGAAAGCGUGGGGAUCGAACAGGAUUAGAUACCCGGGUACA